GGACAGAGCAGAACAUGAUGUAAGGCUCACAGCAGUUCUGACCCGACUCCAGGAGACUGGCCUGACACUCAAUGAAAAAUGCACUUUUGCACAAUCAGAGGUCUUGUUCUUGGGACACAAAAUCGCCGCCUAUGGAAUAGAGCCGGACUAAAGCCUUUCUCACUUUUGACAGAACAUGGACACACUGCAAUUGGGAUCAAGAAGAAGAUCUUCUCAGAAAUUAAUCAAGUCCAUGGAAUGGAUAUAGACAAAAAUAUAAUUCAAGGACUAGCGGAGGUAGAGAGGCGAGGCAGGGGUGAGGACAUCUUCCUGCUAUUUUGACAGUCCCUGAAGGACAAUACAGAAGAGGACUGGAGACCACAGCAGCGAUUCUGCUCUUGCCCAACAUCUUCAAUGAGGACCCGAGUGGCCUUUACGCCCGUGACAAGAUUUCACCGCUCUUCAAUCCUUUACUGCACAUCGGCGGAAAUCCAUUUCACCAUGAGAGUGAAAUCCCGCUGGCCUUUGAUGGGGAGAACAUCCACGCCCUCGAGGACGUCCCCAUGGGACUUGGGGCUCUGCUAGUGCUGGAUUUUUUAUUUUCCCUUAAAUUUCAGAAAAACACAUGUUCUUAAGUUUACUGUGCUCUGGGGAUGAGAGGGAUUAAUGAAAUAGCGGCCACAACAGACAGACCUGAUAUCGCCCAUAAUUCGAUGUCACGUGCUGACUGGGUAUGACCAAAGUUAUUCUAUUUAGC
ensembl:lncRNA